rnacentral:rRNA from 1 species
UACGAAGGGGACUAGCGUUGUUCGGAUUUACUGGGCGUAAAGCGCGCGUAGGCGGAUCGCUAAGUCAGGGGUGAAAUCCUGGAGCUCAACUCCAGAACUGCCUUUGAUACUGAGAAGCUUGAGUCCGGGAGAGGUGAGUGGAACUGCGAGUGUAGAGGUGAAAUUCGUAGAUAUUCGCAAGAACACCAGUGGCGAAGGCGGCUCACUGGCCCGGUACUGACGCUGAGGUGCGAAAGCGUGGGGAGCAAACAGG